rnacentral:tRNA from 2 species
CAGUGGGUAGUUUAUUUAAAAUGUUAACUUUGGGUGUUAUUGAUGAUAUUUAUGUCCUCGCUGA